UUUUUAUUCCCCACUGCCGGCCCCUGGGUUCUUUAUAAACAGGGGAAGAGCACCAGAGCUGGGAGUCUGUAUGCAGGAGAGACACAACGUCCUGUGACGUGCCAAGUCUUUGGGAUCUCUACGCUCUGGGGGUGUAUAAGGUGUCCUCUUGGUAUAACCAGAUCUGUAACGUUGCAGCCUGGGUGUUGGCAGAAGUAGGGUGCUGUGCCUGGGAAGAAGAAUAAAAGAAACAACUUUGUACAUAUUACGGAACACAAAAGCCAGAAGACCAGUUCUCUGCACAGAUGGCGUUCAGGAUAUCUGGGACUGACCCUGACUUCUACAAGGAAUAUGAAUGUGUAGACGAAAUUUAUGAUGAGUUUGAUGCCUACAAUGAUACAUUUGAAGCUGGAGCCAGAGCAGAGGUUGGGGUAGGGAGGGUCAGGGUGCAUAGAGAAGGUGUUGGACUCCAAAGCAAAGUUGCUAAUGUAUCAGCUGGUGCAAAAUUCAGUGUGAGGGACCUGGAAGCAGAGGCCAUGGUUGGGGCAGAAUUAUCAAGUAUCUCUGUCUCUACUGAUCCCUGUGAGGUUGAAUGGGGUCCUGUAACGAUUAAUGUGCCUCCAUGUUCUUCUGAGGUCACCGCUCUCAGCGCAUCGGCUGGCGUCAAAGCUGAUUCCAGCGGAGUUAGGGCUAUGGCCAAGGCAGAGGUACUUAGUGUCUCUGCCUCGGCUGGACCUCUCAAAGGUAAACUUGGACUAGGGUUUGACACUGGGUUUGGAGUUGGAGAGGAAGGGCUUAACGCACGAGUUUUGGGUACUGGCAUGCGUGUGGGCGGAGGUAGAGUAAGCGUAUCUGCCUUGAAUUCAGAGGUGGAAUGUUGUGUAUCAUAAAUGUGCACAGACGGGCAAUGCUGAAGGACAUAUAUGGACAAAUAUAAUGGCCUUCAAGUUACGGAAAGUGCAGAGACUUCAGUGUUAUAGCCGCGAGAUUAAAAGGGGCAUUUUUUUAUUUUAUUUUUCGUAGCAAAACCAGGUUUGGUUGUUAUGUAUUAUUAUUGGAUGAUUCCAUUGAUGACCAAUUCCAUUCAGAACUACCCCUACUUGCAUCUCAUGCUCCUAGUGCCCAAGUUAUACCACUGUCUUACUCUACCUUCAUACAGGUGUGGUUUAGGGGGCAGUGCUCCCCUAGGCACUACAGUAAUGUGCCGUUCCCUGACAAGUGUCGCCCCCUAGGCUGCACUCUACAUUGCAUGUGGCUUGAUGCAUGUACUGACAGUAUUUGAUCUUAAUAUUACAGUGUUUGGUUUAUGAAUUAUAAUAUUACUUGUGUCUGCUUGGCUAGGAACAACUAUACUGAAUGGAAAUUGACUAUGGCCCU